AGAGUUUGAUCAUGGCUCAGAUUGAACGCUGGCGGCAGGCCUAACACAUGCAAGUCGAACGGUAACAGGAAGCAGCUUGCUGCUUCGCUGACGAGUGGCGGACGGGUGAGUAAUGUCUGGGAAGCUGCCUGAUGGAGGGGGAUAACUACUGGAAACGGUAGCUAAUACCGCAUAAUGUCGCAAGACCAAAGAGGGGGACCUUCGGGCCUCUUGCCAUCGGAUGUGCCCAGAUGGGAUUAGCUUGUUGGUGGGGUAACGGCUCACCAAGGCGACGAUCCCUAGCUGGUCUGAGAGGAUGACCAGCCACACUGGAACUGAGACACGGUCCAGACUCCUACGGGAGGCAGCAGUGGGGAAUAUUGCACAAUGGGCGCAAGCCUGAUGCAGCCAUGCCGCGUGUAUGAAGAAGGCCUUCGGGUUGUAAAGUACUUUCAGCGGGGAGGAAGGGAGUAAAGUUAAUACCUUUGCUCAUUGACGUUACCCGCAGAAGAAGCACCGGCUAACUCCGUGCCAGCAGCCGCGGUAAUACGGAGGGUGCAAGCGUUAAUCGGAAUUACUGGGCGUAAAGCGCACGCAGGCGGUUUGUUAAGUCAGAUGUGAAAUCCCCGGGCUCAACCUGGGAACUGCAUCUGAUACUGGCAAGCUUGAGUCUCGUAGAGGGGGGUAGAAUUCCAGGUGUAGCGGUGAAAUGCGUAGAGAUCUGGAGGAAUACCGGUGGCGAAGGCGGCCCCCUGGACGAAGACUGACGCUCAGGUGCGAAAGCGUGGGGAGCAAACAGGAUUAGAUACCCUGGUAGUCCACGCCGUAAACGAUGUCGACUUGGAGGUUGUGCCCUUGAGGCGUGGCUUCCGGAGCUAACGCGUUAAGUCGACCGCCUGGGGAGUACGGCCGCAAGGUUAAAACUCAAAUGAAUUGACGGGGGCCCGCACAAGCGGUGGAGCAUGUGGUUUAAUUCGAUGCAACGCGAAGAACCUUACCUGGUCUUGACAUCCACGGAAGUUUUCAGAGAUGAGAAUGUGCCUUCGGGAACCGUGAGACAGGUGCUGCAUGGCUGUCGUCAGCUCGUGUUGUGAAAUGUUGGGUUAAGUCCCGCAACGAGCGCAAUCCUUAUCCUUUGUUGCCAGCGGUCCGGCCGGGAACUCAAAGGAGACUGCCAGUGAUAAACUGGAGGAAGGUGGGGAUGACGUCAAGUCAUCAUGGCCCUUACGACCAGGGCUACACACGUGCUACAAUGGCGCAUACAAAGAGAAGCGACCUCGCGAGAGCAAGCGGACCUCAUAAAGUGCGUCGUAGUCCGGAUUGGAGUCUGCAACUCGACUCCAUGAAGUCGGAAUCGCUAGUAAUCGUGGAUCAGAAUGCCACGGUGAAUACGUUCCCGGGCCUUGUACACACCGCCCGUCACACCAUGGGAGUGGGUUGCAAAAGAAGUAGGUAGCUUAACCUUCGGGAGGGCGCUUACCACUUUGUGAUUCAUGACUGGGGUGAAGUCGUAACAAGGUA
rnacentral:rRNA from 1 species